rnacentral:rRNA from 1 species
CGGUUACCUUGUUACGACUUGAUGAACGCUGGCGGUGUGCCUUAGACAUGCAAGUCGAACGAAGCACCUUCUUCUGAACCCUUCGGGGUGAUUAAUUUGGUGACUUAGUGGCGAACGGGUGAGUAACACGUGGGUGACCUGCCCCGAAGUGCGGCAUAACAGGGGGAAACUCCUGCUAAUUCCGCAUGUGCUCCCACCUCUUGUGGUGUGAGUAAAGAUUUAUCGCUUCGGGAUGGGCCCGCGGUCCAUCAGCUAGUUGGUAGGGUAAUGGCCUACCAAGGCGACGACGGAUAGCCGGCCUGAGAGGGCGAUCGGCCACAGGGGCACUGAGAUACGGGCCCCACUCCUACGGGAGGCAGCAGUUAGGAAUCUUCCACAAUGGGCGAAAGCCUGAUGGAGCGACACCGCGUGAAGGAUGAAGGCCCUAGGGUCGUAAACUUCUAAAAGAGGGACGAUAAUGACGGUACCUCUUGAGAAGCACCGGCUAACUCCGUGNCCAGCAGNCCGCGGUAAUACGGAGGGNUGNCAAGCGUUNAUCCGGNAAUCACUGGGCGUAAANGGGNCGCGUAGGNUGGUCUGUUAAGUCUGGNCGUUNAAANGCCUGGGGCUCAACCCCNAGAUCAGCGUUGGAUACUGGCAGGCUAGACGGUUGGNAGAGGCGAGUGGAAUUACCAGUGUAGCGGUGGNAAUGCGUAGAUACUGGUAGGAACACCCNAUUGCGAAGGCAGCUCGCUGGACAACACGUGACACUGAGGCGCGAAAGCGUGGGGAGCAAACCGGAUUAGAUACCCGGGUAGUCCACACCCUAAACGAUGCAUACUUGGUAUUGGCCCGUUGGGGUCAGUGCCGGAGCUAACGUGUUAAGUAUGCCGCCUGGGAANGUACGGNCCGCAAGGUUGAAACUCAAANGGAAUUGACGGGGACCCGCACANGCGGUGGANCAUGUGGUUUAAUUCGAAGCAACGCGAAGAACCUUACCAGGCCUUGACAUCCUGAGAACCCUCCCGAAAAGGAGGGGUGCCCUUCGGGGAACUCAGUGACAGGUGCUGCAUGGCUGUCGUCAGCUCGUGUCGUGAGAUGUUCGGUUAAGUCCGGCAACGAGCGCAACCCUCGCCAUUAGUUGCUAGCAAUUCGGUUGAGCACUCUAGUGGGACUGCCUAUGAAAGUAGGAGGAAGGCGGGGAUGACGUCUAGUCAGCAUGGUCCUUACGGCCUGGGCGACACACGUGCUACAAUGGCCGGUACAGCGCGCUGCCACCUCGCGAGAGGGAGCUAAUCGCUAAAGCCGGUCCCAGUUCGGAUUGCAGUCUGCAACUCGACUGCAUGAAGUNGGAAUCGCUAGUAAUCGCGGAUCAGCCAUGCCGCGGUGAAUACGUUCCCGGGUCUUGUACGCACCGCCCGUCAAACCAUGGGAGUGGGUUGCACCCGAAGACGCGUAGUUCCGUCAAUGGGACGUGCGUUUAAGGUGUGGCUCAUGACUGGGGUUCUGAGCCAGGAUCAAACUCU